rnacentral:tRNA from 1 species
GGCCUGAUGGUCUAGUAGUAAGAUACCUCGUUCGGGUCGAGGUGAUCCCGGGUUCAAUUCCCGGUCAGGCCC